CCCAUCAAUAGCCCAUCUAUAGCCCACCAAUAGUCCAUCUAUAGCCCACCAAUAGCCCACCAAUAGACCAUCUAUAGCCCACCAAUAGACCAUCUAUAGCCCACCAAUAGACCAUCUAUAGCCCACCAAUAGACCAUCUAUAGCCCACCAAUAGACCAUCUAUAGCCCACCAAUAGACCAUCUAUAGCCCACCAAUAGUCCAUCUAAAAAAUAGAUAAGUAAACAAUAAAAAAAUAUAAAUAAUUACAGGGCAGCAGUAAAAUAACAUUGGCGAGGCUUUAUAUAGGGGGUACCGGUACAGAGUCAAAGUGGAGACUAUAUACAGGGUGUUACGGUACAGAGUCAAUGUGGAGGCUAUAUACAGGGUGUUACAGUACAGAGUCAAUGUGGAGGCUAUAUACAGGGGUACUGGUACAGAGUCAAUGUGGAGGCUAUAUACAGGGGGUACCAGUACAGAGUCAAUGUGGAGGCUAUAUACAGGGGGUACCGGUACAGAGUCAAUGUGGAGGCUAUAUACAGGGUGUUACGGUACAGAGUCAAUGUGGAGGCUAUAUACAGGGUGUUACGGUACAGAGUCAAUGUGGAGGCUAUAUCCAGGGUGUUACAGUACAGAGUCAAUGUGGAGGCUAUAUACAGGGGCUACCAGUACAGAGUCAAUGUGGAGGCUAUAUCCAGGGUGUUACGGUACAGAGUCAAUGUGGAGGAUAUAUACAGGGGUACUGGUACAGAGUCAAUGUGGAGACUAUAUACAGGGGUUACUGGUACAGAGUCAAUGUGGAGGCUAUAUACAGGGGGUACCGGUACAGAGUCAAUGUGGAGGCUAUAUACAGGGGGUACCGGUACAGAGUCAAUGUGGAUGCUAUAUACAGGGUGUUACGGUACAGAGUCAAUGUGGAGGCUAUAUACAGGGUGUUACGGUACAGAGUCAAUGUGGAGGCUAUAUACAGGGUGUAACGGUACAGAGUCAAGACCCCCAUAAGCCCCACGGGACUCGGCAGAAGUCGAGCAUCAGCAUUUGUGGGUUCGAUUACAGAUGAUGAUGCUCCAGAUACUCAACUAGUCUAAAGAAUACAAUUUUUAUUCAUUCUUUAAUUAGCAAAACAGUUUUCAGCUCUGCUAACAAUUGCAAAAGGGUUUUCUAAUGAUGAAUUAGCCUUUUAAAAUGAUAAACUUGGAUUAGCUAACACAAUGUGCCAUUGGAACACAGGAGUGAUGGCCUCUGUACGCCUACAUAGAUAUUCAUUUAUUUUAAUUUUAAAUCAGCUGUUUCCAGCUACAGUAGUCAUUUACAACAUUAAUGUCUAAACUGUAUUUCUGAUCAAUUUGAUGUUAUUUUAAAUGGACAAUUUUUUUCGCUUUUCUUUCAAAAACAAGGACAUUUCUAAGUGACCCCAAACUUUUGAAUGGUAGUGUAUAUAUAUUUCCUGAGCGUUCUUAUACAGUAUCUCCUGGCUAUAGGACAGACACUUCAAAACCUUUUUUUACUGUAUUUCUAUGGGCUACAGUAGUAAAGGCCAAAUUCAAUAUUUCAUCAGGGGUCCUACAAUUCAAUAUCAAAUAGCUAAAUGAUCCAUGGUAUGGCCUUCUUAAAACAAUACCAUAUGUCAGCUUAGAUUUUCAAGAAUUAAAGCACCAUUUAAUGGUAAUGUGGCAGCCAUAUUGGAUUUGGAGUCAAAUCUAGGGGGGCCCCCUAACUAAGGUUGAGACAUUUGAACAUUUAAACGCAUUUGGGAUCAUUAAUGUUUAGAAAACAUGUCUAACCGAAAACUGUUUUAUUUUAUUUUUUACUAAAUUAAACCGUUAACAGGUCCCGAUCAUCAUCAUAAAGGCAAAAAUACAAAUUAAACAUGCAGGGUGGCAGGGUAGCCUGGUGGUUAGAGCGUUGGGGCGGCAGGGUAGCCUGGUGGUUAGAGCGUUGGGGUGGCAGGGUAGCCUGGUGGUUAGAGCGUUGGGGUGGCAGGGUAGCCUAGUGGUUAGAGCGUUGGGGCGGCAGGUAGCCUAGUGGUUAGAGCGUUGGGGUGGCAGGGUAGCCUGGUGGUUAGAGCGUUGGGGUGGCAGGGUAGCCUAGUGGUUAGAGCGUUGGGGUGGCAGGGUAACCUAGUGGUUAGAGCGUUGGGGCGGCAGGUAGCCUGGUGGUUAGAGCGUUGGGGUGGCAGGGUAGCCUGGUGGUUAGAGCGUUGGGGUGGCAGGGUAGCCUAGUGGUUAGAGCGUUGGGGCGGCAGGUAGCCUAGUGGUUAGAGCGUUGGGGCGGCAGGUAGCCUAGUGGUUAGAGCGUUGGGGCGGCAGGUAGCCUAGUGGUUAGAGCGUUGGGGUGGCAGGGUAGCCUGGUGGUUAGAGCUUUGGGGUGGCAGGGUAGCCUAGUGGUUAGAGCGUUGGAUUAGUAACCGAAAGUUUGCAAGAUCGAAUCCCCGAGCUGACAACGUAAACAUCUGUCGUUCUGCCCCUGAACAAGGUAACCCACUGUUCCAAGGCCGUCAUUGUAAAUAAGAAUUAGUUCUUAACUGACUUGCCCGGAAAAAUAGAAAAAAAAGAGUGAGAAAAACCACAGAGCUGAUUACAUGAUUGCAGUUGUUAUGCGGAUAGACGUCGGCUUCAAUAACCUGAUGGCAUAUCUAGAACCAGACUACAAGACUGUGAUGGCCCAGAUGGAGAAAUUGUACAAUGAUUGCUCUGCAAGUACAAAGCGCGUUAACAACAGAUUGUUAUGAACACGCUGUCAUACAUCACUGCAACGACCUUGAUACCUUGAUGAGAAGUACUGACCACUGAGAACAUGGAGGAAAGGAACACAACAGAGAACCUAAAUCGGCAUUAAUACCAUUGUUGCUGAGUGGGUCGGGGACAGCAGUAAGGUGAGCGCCAUCUAGCUGGUAGGUGGUCGAGACAACGGUACAUUGAAAUGAAUUGCCCCCUAGUGGUCAUAGGCGAUCGUAUCUGAAUUUUGAAUUCACGUUAUCCUAUGAUUUUAUUACAAAUGAUUAAAUGAGAGAGAAAAAAGUCUGGUUAAACCUUAAGGACAUUUUUACAUUUGUCACAUCCCCUAAAAUAAUCGCAAGAGCUGUAUAUAUACAAUCCAGAGAGGAACCUUUGCCUGGAAAAACAUACCGUUUUCAGUGUCUGAGCCCACUUGCCUUAGAGUCGAUUACAAUAGCCACAACAUCAAAAAACGUGUAACUGGAUGCAUUUUUGUCUGGCAGCACUGAAUGAGGACAAAUUUGACAUGGAAAGCUGGCAUGCUGAUGGAGAAUGUCUCUGCAUGGCUUAAUGGGUCACUGUUAAUUCCUGACCUUUGACUAAGAAUGUUCUGAGCCUUAAGGCACAUUAUUACACCACUACAUCACAUAUACAACACAUUAUUACACCACUACAUCACCUACAAUACAACACCACUACAUCACCUACAAUACAACACAUUAUUACACCACUACAUCACAUACAAUACAUCACAUUAUUACACCACUACAUCACCUACAAUACAACACAUUAUUACACCACUACAUCACCUACAAUACAACACAUUAUUCCACCACUACAUCAGCUACAAUACAACACAUUAUUACACCACUGCAUCACCUACAAUACA
ensembl:lncRNA